ACUCCUACGGGAGGCAGCAGUAGGGAAUCUUCCACAAUGGGCGCAAGCCUGAUGGAGCAACACCGCGUGAGUGAAGAAGGGUUUCGGCUCGUAAAGCUCUGUUGUUAAAGAAGAACACGUAUGAGAGUAACUGUUCAUACGUUGACGGUAUUUAACCAGAAAGUCACGGCUAACUACGUGCCAGCAGCCGCGGUAAUACGUAGGUGGCAAGCGUUAUCCGGUAUUUAUUGGGCGUAAAGAGAGUGCAGGUCGGUUUUCUAAGUCUGAUGUGAAAGCCUUCGGCUUAACCGGAGAAGUGCAUCGGAAACUGGAUAACUUGAGUGCAGAAGAGGGUAGUGGAACUCCAUGUGUAGGUCGGUGGAAUGCGUAGAUAUAUGGAAGAACACCACUCACCUCUCUCGAACUCAAGACUACCAGUAUUAAACGGCAGUU
rnacentral:rRNA from 1 species